rnacentral:pre_miRNA from 1 species
GACCUACUCCCUCCGUUCCAUAAUACUUGUUUUUCUUUUGUCAAAAUAUAGAUGUAUGUAGACAUGUUUUAGUAUAUAGGUACAUUCAUUUUUAGACAAAUGAAAGUCAAGUAUUUUGAAACGGAGAGAGUACGAG